AUUCUGCAUCCUGAGGAACAAUCCCUUGCUGAAAAGAGUGGUCACUCAAGCAUGUCUGGCACAGUGAAGACGCAAGCUCUGACUCCCCUUGAGACCCCUGACAGUAAUCUAACUUCACAUUGGGUACAAGCUUUCAUCUUAAACUCGGUAAAAGGAAGCAAGGCGUAUAAAUAAGGAGAGAGUACUUCCAGCAUUGGCAGCUCCACUCCACCUCAUUUACACAAGACAGAUGGAUUUGCAGCACAAACUGAAUCCCAGAAAUAAGGCAAUGAAGGGGACUUGAUAUCCUGGGCACAUACCAAAUAGCAUACCUGAUGCAGAGAGCCUGAGUGCUGGCUGAACUGAGGUGCAUCCUAGGACCACUCUAAGGAAGGAUGGACUUGAAGAACUGAGUGAUUCACUAACUGUCAGCCAAUCAUCGUGGGAUUUCAUUAUGCUUUUUUUUUUUUUACAAAGAUAUUUACCUUUAUCACCAUAAAAACAUAAAUUAAUCAUCAUUAAUUAAAUCCCCGUCUCAGUCUAUUCCACCUUAGUUACCUGAUAUCUUGUUAAAGUUUAAUAGUGUUUCACUGGACAAACCUAGGGUUAUAUCAACAUUAAAGAAAUACAAUAAGAGCCAUCUUUUCUUUCUUUGAUUCUUUAUCUGACCAAAACAUUAAAUGGAUUUUUAGAACAGAUAUUCAAUGUGCCAAGUCCUUUUGAAAUAUCUCAGCCUUCAUAAAUGUUUCUUGAUGGUUCAGGUAAGAACCUUUCUGUUGCUCCUCAUAUCAAGAACUUAGCUUAAUAAUAUUAUGUUAUUUCUCUCUGCCAUUGUUUGAAAAUCUCUGGGUGCCUUAGCACAGAUGAAUACAGAGUAAUAACUGAACAAUAAUAAAUAUCUGAUUAAUCCAGAGCAGGAAGUAAAUAAAAGAACACAACUCUCAAACCCUCUCUCUAUUCACCAGAUGACAAGCAAAGUAAAUAGGUUGUAUUAUUUUUAUUACAAAAGGCCUGACCAAGGCUCGUGUGCCCAUCAUGCGAGGCCCUGUAAAACCAAACAGUAAGGGCUGGUGUAUGUUCCUUUUAUGCUGUUACCAGGAGCACUGCUCUGAAGCAUGUCCUGCCCAUUUGCCUCCUUAUCUUCCAGAGAUGCAGAUGCAUAGCCACCUAAGAGAAAGCCUGGGCAGAUGCCAUUAAACACACCUGAGACAGAGAGCCUAAGGACAGCUUUUGGAAUGUGUUCAGGUUUUUUUAAUGCAGUUACACUGCCAUAUAUCUAGAAGUUAUUGUUGCUGCUGCUGCUGCUGCUGCUAUCUGUCUCCUUCUUCUUAUAUUCAGUACUUAAUUCUGCAAGCCCUGUCUUAAAAAAACAAUUCUUAAAAUCACAGCCUUUACAUACCAUUUGUUCAGUAGCUAUAUAUUACAUAUUAAUUUAAUAAAUGCAUAUAUACAU